rnacentral:lncRNA from 1 species
UAUAAGUAAACUACUGAAAAUGUUAGCUUAGGCCAACUUACUGAGUUCUUCUUAACACUGGAUAUGUUUUUAAGCUGUAGUGACAGUUCCAUCUAUAGGAAACGUGCCUGAUAAGGGCUUCCUUGAAAAUCUAGACAUGCGCUGUUAUUGAAAUUGUCCUGCUGGGUUUGAUUUUCACUUUGGAAGCAAGUGUGUUGCCUGGCUGAGCCCAUAUUCAAAGGCUGGGUGGACUGAUCCCCCGCAAGACACUUGAAGGUUAAGUAACUGCGGAUCUCCGCUAAUCUGGCUAAGCUGCUGAUGUUAAAUGUCGGCUGGCAUCCCGGGGCACCAGAUUCUACAUGCUCCUGAUUUACCACUUACCUUUUGUUCAGCCAGCCACUCUGGAGCUAUGUGGCCCUUUGCAUGCCUGUGCCUUGUGCUUGGUUUUCUGGGACGAGUGAGCUGCACCUGUCCCUCUCAGUGCACCUGUGAUCAUCAGGGCAGAAAUGACGGCUCAGGAUCAAGGCUUGCUGAGAUGUUUCCCUGAUGGUCAUUUUAAUGCCGUGUAUCCCAAUUUUGAACGCCAUUUUCUUUUCAAAAGUGCUUAUUCACUGUGAGCAAUUCAGAUGGGUGUGGAGGGUAAGUAGUUCUUCAGACUGGACCAAAUCUAAGAUUUGAGAUUCUUCCCACACUUAGGACAGUAUUUUUUUUUUAUUCAUGCU